GUGGGGAAUCUUGCGCAAUGGGCGAAAGCCUGACGCAGCCAUGCCGCGUGAAUGAUGAAGGUCUUAGGAUUGUAAAAUUCUUUCACCGGGGACGAUAAUGACGGUACCCGGAGAAGAAGCUCCGGCUAACUUCGUGCCAGCAGCCGCGGUAAUACGAAGGGGGCUAGCGUUGCUCGGAAUUACUGGGCGUAAAGGGCGCGUAGGCGGACAGCUUAGUCAGAGGUGAAAGCCCAGGGCUCAACCUUGGAAUUGCCUUUGAUACUGGCUGUCUUGAGUUUGGGAGAGGUGAGUGGAACUCCGAGUGUAGAGGUGAAAUUCGUAGAUAUUCGGAAGAACACCAGUGGCGAAGGCGACUCACUGGCCCAAUACUGACACUGAGGUGCGAAAGCAUGGGGAGCAAACAGGAUUAGAUACCCGUGUAGUCC
rnacentral:rRNA from 1 species